GAUGAACGCUGGCGGCGUGCCUAAUACAUGCAAGUCGAGCGAACGGACGAGAAGCUUGCUUCUCUGGUGUUAGCGGCGGACGGGUGAGUAACACGUGGAUAACCUACCUAUAAGACUGGGAUAACUUCGGGAAACCGGAGCUAAUACCGGAUAAUAUUUUGCACCGCAUGGUUCAAAAGUGAAAGACGGUCUUGCUGUCACUUAUAGAUGGAUCCGCGCUGCAUUAGCUAGUUGGUAAGGUAACGGCUUACCAAGGCAACGAUGCAUAGCCGACCUGAGAGGGUGAUCGGCCACACUGGAACUGAGACACGGUCCAGACUCCUACGGGAGGCAGCAGUAGGGAAUCUUCCGCAAUGGGCGAAAGCCUGACGGAGCAACGCCGCGUGAGUGAUGAAGGUCUUCGGAUCGUAAAACUCUGUUAUUAGGGAAGAACAUAUGUGUAAGUAACUGUGCACAUCUUGACGGUACCUAAUCAGAAAGCCACGGCUAACUACGUG
rnacentral:rRNA from 1 species